rnacentral:rRNA from 1 species
UUCGUAGGUGGUGCGGCAAGUUGGGAGUGAAAUCUCUGGGCUUAACUCAGAGGCUGCUUUCAAAACUGCCGUGCUCGAGUGCGAGAGAGGUCAGUGGAAUUGCAGGUGUAGCGGUGAAAUGCGUAGAUAUCUGCAGGAACACCCGUGGCGAAGGCGGCUGACUGGAUCGCAACUGACACUGAGGAACGAAAGCUAGGGGAGCAAACAGGAUUAGAUACCCUGGUAGUCCUAGCCCUAAACCAUCGGAACUUGGGGUGGCCCGCGUAGGCGGGUCGUCCCGUAGCUAACGCGUUAAGUUCCGCGCCUGGGGAGUACGGUCGCAAGACUGAA